rnacentral:misc_RNA from 1 species
CCUAGAGGUUGUAGGCUUUGCCUGCUAUCUCUUACCCAUGUCUUUUGAGUACCUUCGUUUCCCUCGGCGGGUCCGCCCGCCGAUUGGACAAUUUAAACCAUUUGCAGUUGCAAUCAGCGUCUGAAAAAACUUAAUAGUUA